AUGAUUCAUCAAGGUCAAUAGAUGUGGGU
rnacentral:sRNA from 1 species